rnacentral:rRNA from 1 species
ACCGCGGUUAUACGAGAGGCUCAAGUUGACAGACAACGGCGUAAAGAGUGGUUAAGGAAACCUAACAAACUAAAGCCGAACGCCUACAAGACUGUUAUACGUUCUUCGAAGGUAUGAAGCCCUAUAACGAAAGUGGCUUUAUUUCUCCUGACCCCACGAAAGCUGAGAAACAAACCGGGAUUAGAUACCCCAUUAUGCUCAGUCGUAAACUUUGAUAGACCAUUACACCCACUAUCCGCCCGGGUACUACGAGCACUAGCUUGAAACCCAAAGGACUUGGCGGUGCUUAACAUCCACCUAGAGGAGCCUGUCCAAUAACCGAUAAUCCCCGUUGAACCUCACCCUCCCUUGUCUUUCCCGCCUAUAUACCGCCGUCGUCAGCUUACCCUUUGAGGGAUCCAUAGUAAGCACAAUUGGCACAGCCCAGUACGUCAGGUCGAGGUGUAGCUAAUGAGAGGGGAUGAGAUGGGCUACAUUUCCUAAACAAGGAAAUACGAACAAUUGUUCUGAAACGAACAUUAGAAGGAGGAUUUAGUAGUAAGUAGGAAGCAGAGAGUUCUACUGAAAUUGGCCAACUUAAGCGCGUACACACCGCCGU